UCGGAUAUGGUGUAACGGCUAACAUUGCCGCCUCUCACCCGGGGGUUACAUGCAGGAGGGGUCUUCGCGGGAUUUCUCUUGCAUGUGACCAGACAAAUCGCGGCAGCUCGGGGUUCGAUUCCCCGUAUCCGAA